CCCUUCAGAGGGGGACAACAGUUGGAAGCGACUGCUAAUACCGCAUACGAUCCAAUCUCGGCAUCGAGGAUGGAUGAAAGGUGGCCUCUAUUUAUAAGCUAUCACUGAAGGAGGGGAUUGCGUCUGAUUAGCUAGUUGGAGGGGUAACGGCCCACCAAGGCGAUGAUCAGUAGCCGGUCUGAGAGGAUGAACGGCCACAUUGGGACUGAGACACGGCCCAG
rnacentral:rRNA from 1 species